rnacentral:sRNA from 1 species
GGAUCCUCUCCCCGGCAGCAGAGCCAGCUCUCCCCGCAGCCGCCGCUAAGACCCGGAGAAGUGGAAUUUCACUUUGAAACUCCCGUGCGGCGCGAGGGCCAGCCCUGGGCAUGCUCAGUA